rnacentral:lncRNA from 1 species
UCACAUCAAAUUUUAAAAAUUGUACAACUUAACCUAAUGAUUUUAACAAUUACCAUUUGAAGUUUUGAAUUGAAUGGAGGGACAGUUAAAACAUUUAUUAGACACAUGUACUGUAAUACCCAAUUUUUCCCCGCCCACUACAAACAAUCCAAAAACAAGUAAAAAAUAUAAAUAAUAUAAAAAUCCAAAUAUCAACAGUCCAUAUCUGUCCAAUUACAACCCAAAAUAAAAGCAAAUUAACCCAAACGGCCCAAAGACAAACCUAAUACCCAAAAUGAGCCCAAACAGCCCAAAUACUAAACAAAUUUGGCCAAACCCUAGCCCUAGUAGCAGAUGCGCCACAACCGGACAGCAGCCCCAGCCUCCGUACCAUGCCAGCGCCUCCAGCAACCACGCCAAGCCUCCGUACACACGCCAACGCGCACCCGUACCUGCAAAAAGACAAACAGAGCAGCAACAAAUAGAAACAAAAGAGAAAAUAUUGUAUUUUUGAUUUAUUUUCCUCUUUCUUUUCGGCUAUAAAGCCAAUAAUGGAUCAAUUAUAUUGGGUUACGUUCACAGACGAAAUACAAAGGCAUAGUGUACAAGCAAAGAGAUAAUAGCAAUCGAUCAAAAAACAGAGAGGUGAUUUUGGCUCUCGUUUUUUAUAUACCUUUCUUCUUUUUUCUUCUUUCUGUUAUCAGCAUUGAUUCAAAUCCAUCAUCGUUACAAAAAAGGGUAUAAAAGCAUAGGGAUAAGAAAAUAACUUGUGAGUAUGCCGUAGACUUCUUUUGGUUUCGUUGAUAUCGAAGUCAAAAUGGAGUCAUGAGGCUAAAAAAUGUCCCACAAGGCAUGAAAGUAUCGAUCGCCGUUUAGGGAGACAAAUCGGUGCCUGAAAAGGAGGGUUUUAGGUCGGUUGGUGAAGCAAAAUGGGGCUAGGGUUCUUGAUUCGGCCAAAUGUGGCCUUGUUUGAGGCUUUUAUAGAACCAAAAACGGCACCGUUUGGGCCCGUUCCAAUGGCUCCAAAACGGUGCCGUGUGUUUAUGCCUUGGAUAUGAGGCAUAUGGUAGUCUUGUCCUCCCAAAAUCAGCAAGACAGAAGAACAAUACACCUUGGAGCAUCAACAAAAUAUGCACGAUCUCCUGAAUACACAUUUGGUUCGAAGGAGCCUUUGAAAAAUUGAAAUAGUGAAACUCGUGCUAAGAUAUCUGGGGCACCUCUUUUCUUUUUAUUGUACUUUGUGCUUUAGUAGACUGGCUAUCCUGCUUGAUGUAUUCACUUUCAGUUUUACUCAAUAAAAUUCCAUUUAGUCCAUUAUGAUAAUCUCUUUCGAGCAUUUUUUGUUGAAAUCACGAUUUUUGGACAUGUAAUAUUCACACAAAAGAUGUUAUGCAUAUUACUCUAGAAAGUCUUUAAAUAGUACAAGAACCUGAAACAGGGCCACUAGUCAGGACUAACCAGGUUCAAAGUUGGAAACAUUCGAAAAAGAAGGGUCCUAAUUGUGAAUAUUUCUUCAAAUUUUCUAUCGAAGAUAACAGCUAAGCAAGAGGGCGUGGUAGCACAUCAAUGAUAGAACCUGAGUGAAUUAUGAGCAAUGACACCUUAAAUGUUUAAAAAGGAAUCACGUUCAUGACAUUUCUACAUUCAUAAUCAUUCAUCUAGUUAGGAGCACUUGAUUCAUUUCGAUCAUAGCAUUCUAAUUGUUUGACAUAAACACCACAUCUAGUUAGGAGCACUUGAUUCAUUUCGAUCAUAGCAUUUUAAUUAUUUGACAUAAAUACCACAUCUAGUUAGGGACAUUUGAUUCAUCUCGAUCAUAGCAUCCUAGUUAUUUGACAUGCACAGAUACAGGAAACCCAUUCUACAUAUCAUGUUUUCAGAAGAUAGUGUAGCGACAUUGGCGAAUCCUACAGAUUUGGCAUCUCUGUAUUAGUGAAGAGCAGAUCAAAGAUAACAAAUUUAGCGUCUCUGUAUUGGCGGAGAGCAGAUCGAAGAUAGCAGAUUUAGCGUCUCUAUAUUGUCAGAGGGCAAAUCAAAGAUAGCAGAUUUGGCAUCUCUGUAUUGGUGGAUAGCAGAUCGAAGAUAUCAGAUUUGGCGUCUUUGUAUUGUCAGAGGGCAGAUUGAAGAUAGCAGAUUUGGCGUCUCUGUAUUGGCGGAGAGCAGAUCGAAGAUAGCAGAUUUGGCGUCUCUGUAUUGGCAGAGAACAAAUCGAAGAUAGCAGAUUUGGCAUCUCUGUAUUGGUGGAGAGCAGAUCGAAGAUAUCAGAUUUAGCGUCUCUGUAUUGUCAGAGGGCAGAUCAAAGAUAGUAGAUUUAGCGUCUCUGUUUUGGCAGAGAGCAGAUCGAAGAUAGCAGAUUUGGCAUCUCUGUAUUGGCAAAGAGCAGAUCAAAAAUAAUAGAUUGGUGUUCCCGAGUCUUCAAGAAGCAGGUUGAAGAUAGCCAAUUUGACACUCUUGAAGACAUCAGAAUACCUUUGGGGAAGAUGAAGAUCAAGAUUUUGAGACUUAGCCAGACCGGGCAAAAUUGGCCUUUUUAUAGUCUUUGCUCUAUUCUCGUUACACGACAAUGAGCAAAGAGGGGCAGCUGUAAUACCCAAUUUUUGCCCAGCCCGCUACAAACAAUCCAAAAACAAGUAAAAAUAUAUAAAUAAUAUAAAAAUCCAAAUAUCAACAGUCCAUAUAUGUCCAAUUACAACCCAAAAUAAAACCAAAUUAACCCAAACGGCCCAAAGACAAACCCAAUACCCAAAAUGAGCCCAAACGGCCCGAAUACUAAACAAAUUUGGCAAAACCCUAGCCCUAGUAGCAGAUGCGCCACAACCGGACAGCAGCCCCAGCCUCCGUACCAUGCCAGCACCUCCAGCAACCAUGCCAAGCCUCCGUACACACGCCAGCGCGCACCCGUACUUGUAAAAAGACAAACAGAGCAGCAACAAAUAGAAACAAAAGAGAAAAUAUUGUAUUUUUUUAUUUAUUUUCCUCUUUCUUUUCGGCUAUAAAGCUAAGAAUGGAUCGAUUAUAUUGGGUUACGUUCACAGACGAAAUACAAAGGCAUAGUGUACAAGCAAAGAGAUAAUAACAAUCGAUCAAAAAAAGAGAGGUGAUUUUGGCUCUCGUUUUUUAUAUACCUUUCUUCUUUUUUCUUCUUUUUGUUAUCAGCAUUGAUUCAAAUCCAUCAUCGUUACAAAAAAGGGUAUAAAAGCAUAGGGAUAAGAAAAUACCUUGCGAGUAUGACGUAGACUUCUUUUGGUUUCGUCGAUAUCGGAGUCAAAAUGGAGUCACGAGGCUAAAAAAUGUCCCUCAAGGCAUGAAAGUACCGAUCGCCGUUUAGGG